AAAAUUGUAUCAUCUUCUUCAAGUUACCAGCAGAACCUUACCUCUCUCCAUAGCUGGGGUUUCUUCAACUUUCAAGCUUCAUAAUCAAGAAGAGCGAAAUUCAAGAGUAGAUCGGGGAAAAGAAAAAGUAAAGGACUAAAUUGUAAAGUUUAGUCACAUUUUGUAUCGAGUACUUAUCUAGCCACUCGGGGAUCGAAGGAAACAUCGGAGGUCGAUCACACUAUCAAAGAAAUAACUCGGUAUAAUUAGACGUUUUGUUUUGUGUAUGGCAUGUAUAGAAACUUAGCCACUUUUGGUAUAAUAUGAACAAUGAAUGAUGUGUAAAUACUUGCUAGUGAUUAGCUAAUAAAAAUGGCUGAUGAUAUGCAUGUUUAUUAA